rnacentral:lncRNA from 1 species
CGAAACACACAGAGAAAGGAAGAACAACGCAAACCAAAAUAGACGAUUUGAAGUCUCAGUCUUUCCCUUUCUUCUUCUUCUUCUUAAUCUUCUUCACAGCCACACCCCCUUUCCUAAUCGAAUUCUCUACUAGGGGUUUUUCUCAUCUGAUCGAUCGAAUUCUUCAGGGCUUGAAAAAAGCUCGAUCUGUCAAUCAGUUGAUCGCCGAUUCCCUGAUAGCUGUUAAUCCAUGGAGGUAAAACUUAGCUUUGAAUCCUUUCGCUCAAAGUCUUCCUUUUUCCUUUUCAGCUUUUCUCUCUUUGCUCUGCUGCGUCUCUGCUUGAAUUGGGUUUGUGAUUUCUUUGUUCUUGUUUGGCGGGUGAGAUGAAUAAUCGAAUUCAGCUUUGGAAUCUCUCUCUAUUUGCGGCAACCUACUGACAGUACUUAUCCAGAAUUCGUUGUUUUGUUGGUUACCUUGAUAUGGAAUUCGUUGGACUAUCACUGCAGCUGCGUUUUUUCGUAAGUAGGGAUUUGGAUCCGCUGAUCUUUUCGUUGCGUCCACGCGGUCAAUUCGUUGCUGGGUGGUUGGACCAAAAAAAUUUAAUUUUUCUACAUGAUUACAUACAUAGGACAUGAUAGAAGGGAAUUGAAAUUUGAAGCUAACUCUGUGGGUUGGGGGUGAUGUUGUAG